UACGGAGGGUGCAAGCGUUGUCCGGAAUCAUUGGGCGUAAAGCGUUCGCAGGCGGCAUAUCAAGUCUGGUGUUAAAGGCAGAUGCUCAACAUCUGUAGGGCACUGGAUACUGGUAAGCUUGAAUGCGGUAGAGGUUAAGGGAAUUCCUGGUGUAACGGUGAAAUGCGUAGAUAUCAGGAGGAACAUCGGUGGCGUAAGCGCUUAACUGGGCCGUAAUUGACGCUGAGGAACGAAAGCCAGGGUAGCAAAC
rnacentral:rRNA from 1 species